CUACGGGGCGCAGCAGUGAGGAAUUUUGCGCAAUGGGGGAAACCCUGACGCAGCAACGCCGCGUGAGCGAAGAAGGCCUUCGGGUCGUAAAGCUCUGUCAAGUGGGAAAAAAAUUCUUUGAUGAACAGUCAAAGGACUUGAUGGUACCACUGGAGGAAGCACCGGCUAACUCCGUGCCAGCAGCCGCGGUAAUACGGAGGGUGCAAGCGUUGCUCGGAAUUACUGGGCGUAAAGAGCGUGUAGGCGGUUUGACAAGUCAGAUGUGAAAGCCCCGGGCUCAACCCGGGAAGUGCAUUUGAAACUGUUUCACUAGAGUAUGGGAGAGGGGAUUGGAAUUCCUGGUGUAGAGGUGAAAUUCGUAGAUAUCAGGAGGAACACCCGUGGCGAAGGCGAUUCUCUGGACCAAUACUGACGCUGAGACGCGAAAGCGUGGGGAGCAAACAGGAUUAGAUACCCCGGUAGUC
rnacentral:rRNA from 1 species